rnacentral:rRNA from 1 species
UACGUAGGGUGCAAGCGUUGUCCGGAAUUAUUGGGCGUAAAGAGCUCGUAGGCGGUCUGUUGCGUCGGCUGUGAAAACCCGGGGCUCAACCCCGGGCCUGCAGUGGGUACGGGCAGACUAGAGUGCGGUAGGGGAGACUGGAAUUCCUGGUGUAGCGGUGAAAUGCGCAGAUAUCAGGAGGAACACCGGUGGCGAAGGCGGGUCUCUGGGCCGUAACUGACGCUGAGGAGCGAAAGCAAGGGGAGCGAACAGG